GGGGUCGUGGAUUAGUGGAAGAUCGUUCGCUUGGCAUGCGAAAGGCCGCGGGUUCAAUUCCCGCCGACUCCA
rnacentral:tRNA from 1 species